GCCUGCAUGCUUUUUGUUGCUGUGUCAGUUUUGUGUUUUCUGGUCUGCUGUUUCUGUUAAUUUUGUAAACUGUGCUGUCUGUCGAAGUUUCACAAUUGUUCUGUGUGUUUGUUAAGCGUCUCUCUCUGUCCUUACUGCCCACCCACGUGGCAUUCGUGGGUCAGGGGUCUUUUCUUGCCCUGAGCAUGUGGCGUGCGGGAUAGGAGUUCCUCUGCCAUGUGCCAUGGGUUGGAGUGUCCUGCGGCACAGUCCCCUGAGGCUACUGCUCUGAACUCCAACCACUGCUGUGGCCCUCACAGCUGAGCCUGGCCGGUGCAGACACAUCUGAGUAUCAGUACUCAGUACAGGCUGUUCUAAGAAG